UCAAUACACACACCAUCAACAUUACCUUUAUUCAACAUGCUGCCACUGCAGCAUUGGGGGUUUUCUCUGAUGUUUCUCUCCAUCCUCACAGGAGUCAACUGUGAAGAACUCACUCGAGUAGAGAAAGAAGAGAACAGUUUAGAAGACAGCUCUGUUACUCUGUCCUACAGAUACUCCAAGACUAUAAAUGCUAAUGAUGAUUUCUUCUGGUAUCGACAAUAUCCAGGAAAACCUCCAAAGUUCCUCCUGUACAUUUCAGGGCUUAGUGUUACAAAAAACGGAGAGUCUCUUCAAUCAGACACAAGGUUCUCUACUAAACUGUCUGAAGAAAAGCAUGGUGUGGACCUCCAGAUCUCCUCUGCUGCAGUGCCAGACUCUGCUGUGUACUACUGUGCUGUGAGGCCCACAGUGACAUCAAACCCACAGUCUCUGUACAAAAACACAAGCUGACACACUGACAAGCUGCUGGAAGCCUUUUUCUACCCUGUUGUAGUGAACCUUGUAGCUCCACUAGAGGGCGACAUUAUCAAGUAGGAGGUGCACUACUUGUGCACUGUGUUCAACCAUUCAGUCAAUAAUAAGUGGAGCUGUUAAGAG